rnacentral:rRNA from 1 species
CCCGCGGCCUAUCAGCUUGUUGGUGGGGUAAUGGCCUACCAAGGCGACGACGGGUAGCCGGCCUGAGAGGGCGACCGGCCACACUGGGACUGAGACACGGCCCAGACUCCUACGGGAGGCAGCAGUGGGGAAUAUUGCACAAUGGGCGGAAGCCUGAUGCAGCGACGCCGCGUGAGGGAUGACGGCCUUCGGGUUGUAAACCUCUUUCAGUAGGGACGAAGCGCAAGUGACGGUACCUACAGAAGAAGCACCGGCCAACUACGUGCCAGCAGCCGCGGUAAUACGUAGGGUGCGAGCGUUGUCCGGAUUUACUGGGCGUAAAGAGCUCGUAGGCGGUUUGUCACGUCGUCUGUGAAAACCCGAGGCUUAACCUCGGGCCUGCAGGCGAUACGGGCAGACUUGAGUACUGUAGGGGAGACUGGAAUUCCUGGUGUAGCGGUGGAAUGCGCAGAUAUCAGGAGGAACACCGGUGGCGAAGGCGGGUCUCUGGGCAGUAACUGACGCUGAGGAGCGAAAGCGUGGGUAGCGAACAGGAUUAGAUACCCUGGUAGUCCACGCCGUAAACGGUGGGUACUAGGUGUGGGUUUCCUUCCACGGGAUCCGUGCCGUAGCUAACGCA